UGCGAGUGAAGCGGCAAAAGCUCAAAUUUGAAAUCGGUGUCCAUUAAGUGCAUCGAGUUGUAAUUUGGAGGGACAACUUCGGGGCGAACCACAUCGUAAGUUUUUUGGAACAGGACAUCAUAGAGGGUGAGAAUCCCGUGUCUUGGUGUAGGGUCAAAUGUGAAGUGUCUCCGACGAGUCGAGUUGUUUGGGAAUGCAGCUCAAAAUGGGUGGUAAAUUUCAUCUAAAGCUAAAUAUUGGCGAGAGACCGAUAGCGCACAAGUAGAGUGAUCGAAAGAUGAAAAGCACUUUGAAAAGAGAGUUAAAAAGUACGUGAAAUUGUUGAAAGGGAAGCGCUUGCGACCAGACUCGAUCUUUGGAGAUCAGCCGGGCUUCUGUCCGGUGCCCUCUCCAUCGAUUGGGCCAGCAUCGGUUCUGACGGUGGGAUAAAAGGAGGAGGAAUGUGGCUCCCCUCGGGGAGUGUUAUAGCCACCUUCACAAUGCUACCAGUUGGGACCGAGGACCGCGCUUCGGCUAGGAUGCUGGUGUAAUGGUCUUAAGCGACCCG
rnacentral:rRNA from 1 species